UACCUGCAGCUCAAGUAGUGAUCACUAUUAUUGGGCCUAAAACGUUCGUAGCCGGUUUGGUAAAUGCCUGGGUAAAUCGUGUAGCUUAACUAUACGAAUUCCGGGUAGACUGCCAAACUUGAGACCGGGAGAGGCUAGAGGUACUCCUAGGGUAGAGGUGAAAUUCUGUAAUCCUGGGGGGACCACCAGUGGCGAAGGCGUCUAGCUAGAACGGGUCUGACGGUGGGGAACGAAGCCCUGGGGCGCAAACCGGAUUAGAUACCCGGGUAGUCCAGGGUGUAAACGCUGCUUGCUUGAUGUUAGUUGGGCUCCGAGCCCAAUUAGUGUCGGAGAGAAGUUGUUAAGCAAGCUGCCUGGGAAGUACGGUCGCAAGAUUGAAACUUAAAGGAAUUGGCGGGGAGCACCACCAGGCGUGAAGCCUGCGGUUU
rnacentral:rRNA from 1 species